UACGUAGGUGGCAAGCGUUGUCCGGAUUUACUGGGCGUAAAGAGCGCGCAGGCGGUCGAUCAAGUCGAGUGUGAAAGCCCCCGGCUCAACUGGGGAGGGUCAUUCGAUACUGAUCGACUCGAAGGCAGGAGAGGGUAGUGGAAUUCCCGGUGUAGUGGUGAAAUGCGUAGAUAUGCGGAGGAACACCGAUGGCGAAGGCAAUCCCCUGGGCCUGCACUGACGCUCAUGCACGAAAGCGUGGGGAGCAAACAGG
rnacentral:rRNA from 1 species